UUGCCUUAGUAACGGCGAGUGAAGCGGCAACAGCUCAAAUUUGAAAUCUGGCUCCUUCGGGGUCCGAGUUGUAAUUUGCAGAGGAUGCUUCGAGUUAUGGUUCCUUCCGAGUUCCCUGGAACGGGACGCCAUAGAGGGUGAGAGCCCCGUCUGGUAGGAAACCAUGCUCAUGUGAAGCUCCCUCGACGAGUCGAGUAGUUUGGGAAUGCUGCUCUAAGGGGAGGUAUACUCCUUCCAAGGCUAAAUACCGGCUAGAGACCGAUAGCGCACAAGUAGAGUGAUCGAAAGAUGAAAAGUACUUUGAAAAGAGAGUCAAACAGCACGUGAAAUUGUUAAAAGGGAAGCGCUCGCUACCAGACGUGGGUUCGGUGGUUCAACCAGGUCCAUGACCUGGGGCACUCCGCCGGCCCAGGCCAGCAUCAGCUUUCCGUCGGGGGCAAAGGCGUCGGGAAUGUGGCUCUCCUUCGGGGGAGUGUUAUAGCCCGUCGCGUCAUACCCUUCGGGGGGCUGAGGUACGCGCUCCGCAAGGAUGCUGGCGUAAUGGUAGCUAGUGACCCGUCUUGAAACACGGACCAAGGAGUCAACCUUAUGUGCGAGUGCCCGGGCGUAAAACCCCAGCGCGGAAUGAAAGUGAACGUAGGUGAGAGCUUCGGCGCAUCACCGACCGAUCCUGAUGUCCUCGGACGGAUUUGAGUGAGAGCAUAUAGGGUUGGACCCGAAAGAAGAUGAACUAUGCGUGUGUAGGGUGAAGCCAGAGGAGACUCUGGUGGAGGCUCGCAGCGGUUCUGACGUGCAAAUCGAUCGUCAAACAUGCGCAUGGGGGGCGAAAGACUAAUCGAAUCUUCUGGUAGCUGGGUUUCCGCCGAAG
rnacentral:rRNA from 1 species